rnacentral:tRNA from 1 species
GUCUUUGUAGUAUAACAAAAUACCCCGGUCUUGUAAACCGGAAAAGGAGAACCCCGCUCCUCCCUAAGACU